rnacentral:pre_miRNA from 1 species
UUAAAGUGUAGCUAUAAAUUUUUCACGUUCAACGCUUAACCAUCCACCUUUUUUUAUAAUUAGUAUUUUUAUUAUUAUUUAAUGAUAAAACAUAAAUAAUAUUUUAUGUAUAACUUAUUAUCUUUAAUUUUUUUUAUAAUUUUUUAAAAUAAGAUAUACGGUCAAACGUUGAACACGAAACCACUGUAUUUAAA